rnacentral:sRNA from 1 species
UGAUAUAGAUGUCAAAAAGUCAAAAAUGCGUACAUGCUUGCAUGUUAAGCUUUUUGACCUUUUGACUCUAACAAACAUAAGGAAUUAGCGAUUUACACAGCAAAUCCGCGGUUUCCGCAUGUUUGUAGAAUUGCGUGAGUGACUUUUGUCACGGAGCAAUUCGUAUAUCA